UGGAAAACCAGUUACAAGGGGCUAGCGUUGUGAAAGUUUUCCGGUAUGUGGACGAUUUUUUGGUUUUUCACUCGGCAGAUUUGGCAGGUUGCGAACAGAAUGCCAUGUCUAUCUUGAAGGUCUUCCAGGACGAGCUCCAACCCCUUGAGGCCACGUAUGAGCUCCCUGAAGGUGACACCAUCAAGUUUCUAGACUUGAGGCUCUUUUCUUUUCUUUUUCGAGACAG
rnacentral:lncRNA from 1 species